AUUGAACGCUGGCGGCAUGCCUUACACAUGCAAGUCGAACGGCAGCACGGGAGCUUGCUCCUGGUGGCAAGUGGCGAACGGGAGAGUAAUACAUCGGAACGUACCCUGAAGUGGGGGAUAACGUAGCGAAAGUUACGCUAAUACCGCAUAUUCUGUGAGCAGGAAAGAGGGGGAUCGCAAGACCUCUUGCUUUAGGAGCGGCCGAUGUCGGAUUAGCUAGUUGGUGAGGUAAAGGCUCACCAAGGCGACGAUCCGUAGCGGGUCUGAGAGGAUGAUCCGCCACACUGGGACUGAGACACGGCCCAGACUCCUACGGGAGGCAGCAGUGGGGAAUUUUGGACAAUGGGCGCAAGCCUGAUCCAGCCAUGCCGCGUGAGUGAAGAAGGCCUUCGGG
rnacentral:rRNA from 1 species